GUGCUCGCUUCAGCAGCACAUACACUAAAAUUGGAACGAUACAGAGAACAUUAGCAUGCCCUCGGCACAAGGAUGACACACAAAUUCAUGAAGCGUUCCAUAUUUUA
rnacentral:snRNA from 1 species